AAAAAGGUAAGCUAAAUUAAGCUAUUAGGUUCAUACCCUAAAAAUAGAAAGCAAUUCUCCUUUUUA
rnacentral:tRNA from 1 species